rnacentral:rRNA from 1 species
UACGUAGGGUGCGAGCGUUAAUCGGAAUUACUGGGCGUAAAGCGUGCGCAGGCGGUGAGCUGUGUCCGAUGUGAAAGCCCCGGGCUUAACCUGGGAAUGGCAUUAGAAACUGGCUCGCUGGAGUGUGGCAGAGGGGGGUGGAAUUCCGCGUGUAGCAGUGAAAUGCGUAGAGAUGCGGAGGAACACCGAUGGCGAAGGCAGCCCCCUGGGCUAACACUGACGCUCAGGCACGAAAGCGUGGGGAGCAAACAGG